rnacentral:rRNA from 1 species
UACGUAGGGGGCGAGCGUUAUCCGGAUUUACUGGGUGUAAAGGGAGCGUAGACGGCAUGGUAAGCCAGAUGUGAAAGCCCGCGGCUUAACCGCGCGGAUUGCAUUUGGAACUAUCAAGCUAGAGUACAGGAGAGGAAAGCGGAAUUCCUAGUGUAGCGGUGAAAUGCGUAGAUAUUAGGAAGAACACCAGUGGCGAAGGCGGCUUACUGGACGGUAACUGACGCUGAGGCUCGAAAGCGUGGGGAGCA